rnacentral:snRNA from 1 species
GUGCUCGCUUCAGCAGCACACAUAUUAAAAUCGGAAUGAUACAGAGAAGAUUAGCAUGGCCCCUGCGUAAGGAUGACACACAAAUUCGUGAAGCGUUCCAUAAAAAA